CCUACGGGAGGCAGCAGUGAGGAAUAUUGGUCAAUGGACGCAAGUCUGAACCAGCCAUGCCGCGUGCAUGAAGACGGCUCUAUGAGUUGUAAACUGCGUUUGUACGAGGGUAAACUCAGAUACGCGUAUCUUUCUGAAAGUAUCGUACGUAUAAGGAUCGGCUAACUCCGUGCCAGCAGACGCGGUAAUAUGGAGGAUUCAAGCGUUACCCGGAUUUAUUGGGUUGAAAGGGUGCGUAGGCGGUCGGAUAAGUUAGAGGUGAAAUGCCGAGGCUUAACUUGGGAAUUGCUUCUGAUACUGUUCGGCUAGAGAGUAGUAGAGGUAGGCGGAAUGUAUGGUGUAGCGGUGAAAUGCGUAGAGAUCAGACAGAACACCGAUGGCGAAGGCAGCUUACCAAGCUACUACUGACGUUGAGGCACGAAAGCGUGGGGAGCAAACAGGAUUAGAUACCCCUGUAGUC
rnacentral:rRNA from 1 species